GAUGAAGAACGUAGCGAAAUGAGAUAAGUAAUGUGAAUUGCAGAAUUCAGUGAAUCAUCGAAUCUUUGAACGCACAUUGCGCCCGCCAGUAUUCUGGCGGGCAUGCCUGUUCGAGCGUCAUUUCAACCCUCAAGACCCCUUCGGGGGACUUGGUGUUGGGGACCGGCACAGGGGCCUGCCUGCUUGUCUUGCAGCGCCCUCGCCGCCUCCGAAAUGAAUUGGCGGCCUCGUCGCGGCCUCCCCUGCGUAGUAGCACAACCUCGCAACGGGAACGUGACGGCGGCCACUGCCGUAAAACAACCCCAAUUUUAUUAGAGUUGACCUUGAAUCAGGUAGGAAUGCCCGCUGAACUUAAGCAUAUCAAUAAGCGGAGGA
rnacentral:misc_RNA from 1 species